AUUGAACGCUGGCGGCAGGCUUAACACAUGCAAGUCGAGCGGGGGAAGGUAGCUUGCUACUGGACCUAGCGACGGACGGGUGAGUAAUGCUUAGGAAUCUGCCUAUUAGUGGGGGACAACAUCUCGAAAGGGAUGCUAAUACCGCAUACGUCCUACGGGAGAAAGCAGGGGAUCUUCGGACCUUGCGCUAAUAGAUGAGCCUAAGUCGGAUUAGCUAGUUGGUGGGGUAAAGGCCUACCAAGGCGACGAUCUGUAGCGGGUCGGAGAGGAUGAUCCGCCACACUGGGACUGAGACGCGGCCCAGACUCCUACAGGGGGCAGCAGUGGGGAAUAUUGGACAAUGGGCGCAAGCCUGAUCCAGCCAUGCCGCGUGUGUGAAGAAGGCCUUAUGGGUGUAAAGCACUUUAAGCGAGGAGGAGGCUACUUUAGAUAAUACCUAGAGAUAGUGGACGUUACUCGCAGAAUAAGCACCGGCUAACUCUGUGCCAGCCGCCGCCGUAAGAC
rnacentral:rRNA from 1 species